UUUUUUUUGAUGUCCAAUUCCCAAGAAUACUGGUCUUUUAUGAUCUCCCCAAUGUCCAUAAAAAUGCUUCCACCGGGAAGGCCUAUAGUGUCUGGCAUUGGAUCCCUUUUAUCGCCAUUGUGACGAGACCAAUCUCGUCACUGUGCAUUGGAGGAGCCUGGUUGCCCGCCUGCUGCCUUUAGACUAUGGCCCCAUGUUGAAACACUUGAUUUUCCCCUGCAAAGACAUGAAAGCCGGGUCAUUUGGUGCUUGCCCUGUUUGAGCAGUGAUACCCCAGAUAGCUAUGCCAUGGAGCCCAUUCGUAUAAUGAAAGACUAUGGGAAAGACUUUGGCUCCAUGGCAAUUGAACUGUAUGUAUGUGAUAUGAACGCCAUUCAGUAAUAAUGUGCGCUCAGAUCUGAGCUAUCUGGGGAUAUGAAUGUACCUGUUUUAUGCAAUAGCUGCACAGUUAUAUAUUUUUAUGUAUUUUAUUGUCUUUUGCUGCCAUGUGAGUUUUGCCUCUGACCUUGGAGAUAAUUGUAUUACUUCCCAGUUAUCUCCAGGAUAGAAGACUCUGUGGUUUUGGGCAGAAAAGCCAUGCUUCAUUUGGCCACAAAGGACUACGAUCUAUCUUUUGAACCAAUGGACCAAUUUGUAUGAUUUUGACUUAUGUUUGAAUUUGGAGUAUGCUGAUUCUGAAAAUGUAUGUGAAUGUGAUGCAUUCUUUUAAAAUUGUGAAUUAUGUGGAAAAACUGUAUUUCUCUGCCUGUGAUAAUUACAUUACCCAUUGUGUAAGGUAAUUGUAUCACAGGCAGAGGGGAGGAUUUUGUGUGGGAGUGUCUGAGUGUAUUGUAC